GAACUUAAGCAUAUCAAUAAGCGGAGGAAAAGAAACCAACAGGGAUUGCCUUAGUAACGGCGAGUGAAGCGGCAACAGCUCAAAUUUGAAAUCUGGCCUCACGGCCCGAGUUGUAAUUUGUAGAGGAUGCUUCGAGCAUGGUCUGGUCUAAGUUCCUUGGAACAGGACGUCAUAGAGGGUGAGAAUCCCGUAUGCGACUAGGUGCCUAAGCUCAUGUGAAGCUCCUUCGACGAGUCGAGUUGUUUGGGAAUGCAGCUCAAAAUGGGUGGUAAAUUUCAUCUAAAGCUAAAUACUGGCCAGAGACCGAUAGCGCACAAGUAGAGUGAUCGAAAGAUGAAAAGCACUUUGGAAAGAGAGUUAAACAGUACGUGAAAUUGUUGAAAGGGAAGCGCUUGCAACCAGACUUGCAUGCAGUCGAUCAUCCAGUGUUCUCACCGGUGCACUCGAUUGCAUUCAGGCCAGCAUCGGUUUUGGUGGUUGGAUAAAGGCCUAGGGAAUGUAGCUCCUCUUGGGGAGUGUUAUAGCCCUAGGUGCAAUGCGACCUACUGGGACCGAGGACCGCGCUUUGGCUAGGAUGCUGGCGUAAUGGUUGUAAGCGACCCGUCUUGAAACACGGACCAAGGAGUCUAACAUCUAUGCGAGUGUUUGGGUGUAAAACCCAUGCGCGUAAUGAAAGUGAACGGAGGUGAGAACCCUUUAGGGUGCAUCAUCGACCGAUCCUGAUGUCUUCGGAUGGAUUUGAGUAAGAGCAUAGCUGUUGGGACCCGAAA
rnacentral:rRNA from 1 species